AUGGAUCUGCUAGGCUUUGUGUAAAUUAUCGUGAACUCAAUAGAAACACAGUUGCUGACAAAUUUCCAUUACCGUUAAUAUCUGAUCAGAUUGCUAAAUUGCGGGGAGCCAAGUAUUUCACUUGUUUAGACAUGGAGUGCGGAAAUCAUCAAGUGCCGUUUCAUGCUGACUCAAUUGAAUACACUGCUUUUGUGACACCCGACGCAGUGAUAAAAGCAUUAGGCGAGCUAGCAUACUCAUUUGUGAUUGUGUACAUGGAUGGAUAGUGGCAUCCACUAAGGAAGAAGCAUUUGGAAAUUGUAUUAAAGAUUUUAAUAGAUGCUGGUUUUUCGUUUAGUGUAGAAUAAUGUUCCUUCUUGAGAGAAACUGUGCAGUAUUUGGGGAACGAAGUUCAGGCUGGUGAGAUCCGUCCCAAUUUGCUAUUGCAGGCAACCGUAUGUGGUGGAUUUCUUCAGCAAAGCUACAAGCCCUUGUGAGUCCAGAUACACAUCGUACGAGUUGACUUGCUGUUGUCAAUUCUGUUAAGUAUUUUAAACACUUUUUUAUUUUUACUGAUUGUAAUUCGUUGAAAGCAUCCAGAACAAAAAAUGAAUUAUCAUCUAGAGUAUACCGUUGGUGGGCCUUUCUACAGUGAUUUGAGUUUAAUAUAGAGUACCGCGAAGGAAAGCGCAUGGAACAUGAAGGUUGCUGAGAAGCGUGUGGAACUGAUGAGCAUCACCGAGAGCUGGAUCCAAGCACUACAGCAGCGUGAUCAGGACAUUUUCAAUACAAUUAAAAAACUAAGAGAUAUCCACACGAGAGCUUACGUAGAAUAGGUUUAUAAAUUGUCGUUAGUGGAAUGGAACAUAACGAGGGGCUUACGGCCUAUUUUUUAAGUGCC